rnacentral:lncRNA from 1 species
ACUUUCGGCUUCUUUCAGACAGCGUCCUGAGUGCACUGAGUUUGCGGGGUUUUUUCUGCUGGAGGGUUUCUCGCAUCCUCUUAGGUCCCUGCUCUGGGCUCACGGGAGGCCUUGCCGGGUGGACGCGAACCCCUAAUGCCGACUCUGGGGCCGCGGGCGGCCUCCUCCACGGAACUCGCGCGCCGCGGGAUUGGGGGCCGGGGUGGAAGGCUUUUCGGAGGGGCCCCCUUGAAGCCCAUAGCGCCGGGAUCCCUUUCGCCUAAGUGCUACCUCGAGAUCGGCCCCUCCAAUACCUAAGCUCUGGACUUUCCUUUUUAUAACCCCUACAGGCUCGAAAAAAAUAAUGGUGACACUGCAACUUAAAAGUAUUUAAUUUAGGCCGGGCGCACUGGCUCACGCCUGUAAUCCCAGCACUCUGGGAAGCCAAGUUGGGAGGAUCGCUGGAGCUCAGGAGUUAGAAACCGGCCUGGGCAACAUAGCGAGACCCAGUCUCUACUAAAAAAAAAAAAAAAAAAAAAAUACAAAAAUUAGCCGGGCGUGGUGGUGUGCGCCUGUGGUCCCAGCUGCUCUGGAGGCUGAGGUGGGAGGAUUGCUUGAGCCUGGGAGGUCGAGGCUGCAGUGAGCCUUGGUGGCACCCCUGCACUCCAGCCUGGGCGACAGAACAAGACCUGUAAAUAUAUAUACUUCAGGGCCCAUUUUUCCCGUAUGUAGGAGAACGACUGACUUGUCAAUUUUAACAAGUCAAGUAACCAAAACAAACAAACAAAAAAUGCACUUUAGUAUUGUGACCACAUAAUGGGGAAGAAGAUUAGUUCAGAAGAUGAGGAACUAUGAGCCUGGAAGAGUAGAGUACAAGAACUAUGCAGACAGUGCCACUUGGAAGGAGGAUUGGAGGUACAGGGGUAGAAAGGGUCCUAACGUCCUCCCUAUGGGAGAGGAGGGUGAAGACAAAAUCAAGAUCUCUUAACCAAAGGCUGUGCAUCAUGGUGCACGCCUGUAGUCCCAACUACUCGGGAGGCUGAGGUAGGAGGAUGGCUUGAGCCUGGGAGGCGGAGGUUGCAGUGAGCUGAGAUCGUGCCACUGCACUGCAGCCUGGGUGACAGAAUGAGGCCCUGUCUCAGAAAAAAAAAAAUCUUACCAAGGAGAAAUGAGACUCAUGAUUGUAGACUACUAGUUUGAGAAUACUGGCCUGGAUUCUCUACCAGGGCAGCCACUUACCACAGGUGUUAGUUCCUCAAUAAUUUUGAGAUGUUAUUUUACUGUUCAUGAUGUAUGCUGGAGGAAGGCCAAGGCCGGGUUUUGUUCAUUUCCAUUUCCAGGUGUUAUAUGGCUUGUGGCAGUUCAGUGAUUAUGAAUCAUUUUCUUGAACAUUUAUAAAACGGAAACUAUCCAUAAAACGGAAACUAUUCAUGUGUGAAACUGAUAUACCUUCUCUGACACUUCUAUGAGAUUGUGUUGGGAAAUAUUCCCUAUAAAGAAGCAUUUGCCAUUAUGUGUUCCUGAGGCGAAAAUAAGAAAAAGAGAGAGAGAGAGAGACAGAAAGAAAAGAAAAGGAAAGAGAGGGAGGGAGGGAGGGAAAAGAAAAGAAAAG